ACUCCGGUUUGCAUGGCAGCGGCGAGCGGAGCCCAGGCCAACCUGGAAGCCAGGCAUGGCCGAACACUGCAGGCUCGAUCCUUAUCUCGGUUGUAAGACAGAGUUUCCUGAGCAGCUGGAGGU
rnacentral:lncRNA from 1 species